rnacentral:rRNA from 1 species
GACGAACGCUGGCGGCGUGCUUAACACAUGCAAGUCGAGCGGAGCGGCGAACGGGUGAGUAACGCGUGAGUAACUGCACCCCUCUCUGGGAUAACAGGUGGAAACGGCUGCUAAUACCGGAUAGUGGGGGAUGAAUCUGGCCAUAUCAGCUUGCUGGUGGGGUAGUUGACUAGCACGGCGACGACGGGUAGCCGGCCCUAGAGGGCGGCCGACCACAUUGGGCUGCGAUACGGCCCAAACUCCUACGGGAGGCAGCAGUGGGUAAUAUUGCACAAUCGGGGAAACCCUGAUGCAGCAACGCCGCGGUCGGGAUGUCGGCCUUCGGGUUGUAAACCGCUUGCAGCCAUGACGCGGUAGUUGCAGAAGAAGCACCGGCUAACUACGUGCCAGCAGCCGCGGUAAUUC